ensembl:lncRNA
CGGGGGCCCCGCGGCUCCGUGCUGAGGGUCGGCGCCCGUGCAGCGCGAGCAGCGCGGCCGGGGCCUGCAGAAAGUUUCCGCGGCGGCAGGUGGACGGCAGGCUGGGACCUGUUGCAAUUCCUGAUCGUUCUGGCCGCGUUUCAUCAAGCAGUUGUGACUUGAGAACUGUCCCGGCCCUCGCGCCCCAUAACCACGCGGUUUCCUUGGCCUCCUUGGCGCUUACGUCCCUUCUUGUCCCCCAGCAAGCUUCCUGCACGGCGUAACCGAGCCGCGUUUUGCGCCCCGUCGGGCGGCGGAAGGGUUAAGUCCCGCUGCGCUGAGCGUUUCGGCGCUCGUUGGCUGCCGGCCCAGCGCUCUCGGUGCCGUAUUGCAUCAGAGCGGGCAGGAGCACCUCGCUGCGCUCCCCCUCCGCGCGCUGUACUUGGAGCGCUUCGCCGUUUCCCACGGCAUGUUAAUUUUUUCCCUCCGUGGUCUCCAGGAUUCCUUCUCACGGGUUUCUUGGAGGAUGUUCUGCCCCGCUCCUCCCACCCAGGUUGAGGGCAGGGCGCCGCUCCGCUCUGCCCUACGCCGGGCGCCUGGAGCCCAUCUUUGCACCUCCGGCACACGGCGAGCCCUCGGUGCCGAGACGCUCCCCGCUCGGUGUCGAAACGUCGCCGCAGAGCAGUCCCGUGCGUUGCCCAGCGAGGUUCCCAGUAAGUGCGGCUGGCGCGGGGCCAGGCUGCGCUGCCAAAGCGCCCGUGGGUUCGGCGCUCUGGAUGAAAAUUUGGAUGUGCUUCACAGCACGGGGAGCUGCGGGAGCCUGGCUCGGGGCAGGAGCUCCCAGGGCUGGGUGGGUGUCCGUUCCCUCGGCUCUCACAUCAGUGUCAGGUGGGUCAGCCCGGCCCGGCCCCCUCCAUUUCACGUGGAAGCGACAGGUUUUUGAUUUUUUUUUAUUAAAAAAAAAAAAAAAAGAAGAAGAAGAUUUGGGAUUUAAUGCCUCCUUUGUUGUCAGUCUCUUAACAACUGAGGAGAAGAGACAUUGAAAUGCUGAGCCAACCCAUGGGACGGGUUUUAAAGACACUCCUAGGCACCUAAAACGUGGGUUCCUAAACACCUUUACAAAUGUGGAUUCAUGGGACUGACGCAGAGCUGCCUCAUAAACUUUUGAUGCCCUGGAGCUUCUAGCCAAGACUUGCAGUAAGAACGCCACAAAAGACACUGAAGGAAAGCACUGUGGGCAUCACAUUCACAUCUGAUUUAACCAGCGACUCUCCCCAUCCUUCAAUCCUGAGCUGAAUACAAAAAGGACAACAGCUUUCCAGGUAGAGCGAUGUGAUAAAACAGGUGAUUUCUAAAAGCAAGUAAAGAACCCUAAAUUGUUGCCGCUCACCUUGGUAUUCAAAACUCAAAACCUCCACUCAAGAUCUCCUAAGACGCAAAGUGAUCUUUACCACAGUUGUACAAGACAGAUCCCUGG